CGAUUGUUCAAAUAAAGGAAAAAAGCCUCCAGCAAAAUUACUAUUUAUGGCCCAACUCAACAGUAAAUAAUUUAUAUGCAAUCUUGUGUUCGACUGGCAAAUACUGAAAUCGUUGUUGAAGACAAUCAGAACCAAGAUGUCGAAAACACUUUUAUUAUUAUUAUCAAUUUUCUUGAUGAUUGGCCUUUAUACUGUUGCAGUUAAAGGAUGUGCGGGUGGUUGGUGUCAUCCCCAGCAAAAUCACUACUGUUGUCCAGGUUAUGCAUGCAACAGUCAUUGGUUACAAGGUUCAUGCGUAACUCAGGCGGAACAUGACUAUUUAGCAAAGACUCUACAACUGUAAAGAUGUAGAAAGAAUUGAUUAUGAUGUAUAGUUUGAUUUAGACAUACAAAAUGUGAGCUCAUAAACCCACCAAAGGUGGCUUUUUGUAAUAGAAAUAAUAAUAAUUAAAGAAAUGAACAAAUUUAUAAA